CGCUGGAGAACUGCAGUUCAGGAUCAACACGAGCUGCAGCAGCACACAGGAGACUGAAGCUUUAAACUCAUCCAGUUGUAAACAAAGUCAUCAUUUUGACAGGAUUUCGACUCGCAAAACAUCGUGGGUUAACUCUGUGCACUCAACUGAGAGGAUGUCUUCUGGUGAUGGAUCUACACUGAUAUCUGUUCAUUACGCUGCACAUGUCGUCUCUCUCUCGUCUCUGAUGGACUCAGUUCAGCUCAUGCAGCUCUCUGAAACAUGCUGAGGAUUUCAAGAAGAGA
rnacentral:lncRNA from 1 species